CUCUGGUGGCUCAGAUGGUAAAGAACCUGCCUUCAAUGCUGGAGACCCAGGUUCAACCCCUGGAUCGGAAA
rnacentral:tRNA from 1 species